GACGUAGGGCGCGAGCGUUGUCCGGAUUUAUUGGGCGUAAAGAGCUCGUAGGCGGCUUGUCGCGUCGUUCGUGAAAACCUGCAGCUCAACUGCAGGCUUGCGGUCGAUACGGGCAGGCUGGAGUUCGGUAGGGGAGACUGGAAUUUACGGUGUAGCGGUGAAAUGCGUAGAUAUCGUAAGGAAGACCAGUGGCGAAGGCGGGUCUCUGGACAGUUCCUGACGCUGAGGCACGAAGGUCAGGGGAGCAAACGGG
rnacentral:rRNA from 1 species